AGUCACUCAACAAACAUUAUCAGUCUGUUCCCCCUGCCCCUGGGUCUGACCUGAGGCUGGACACUGGGAAGAAAAAGACAACAAGGAACUGGAUGCGGUGGCACAUGCCAGCCAUCCAAGCAGUUUGGGAGACCGAGGCAGGAGGAUCAUGAGUUCAACGCCAGCCUCAGCAAAAGAGGCCCUGAGCAACUCAGUGAGACCCUAAAUAAAACACAAACAUGGCUGGGAUGUGGCUCAGGGGUCCAGGGCCCUGGGUUCAAUCCCCAGUACCUCCAGGAAGCACCUGCCUGUCCUCAAAGCCACCGUCCCUCCAUUCUUCUUUCAUGUGCCCACAGCCCUUUUGCUUUGACACCAACAAGACUCUCUUAUAUCUGAGUACCUGGGGCUCCACAAGGUCUGUGUACUCAAGCUCUGGUGGCCUUGCACAUGGCCAUGAGCACCAGCUUCACAGCAGGCAAUCUGAACACUGCCUCUGCCUCAUUUGUGCUGUGUGACCUCAGGGGCAGCUCCUUAACCUCUCUGAGCCUCCAUCUGCACACACAUCAAGUGGAGAUAAUUGUACCUCUUCAUCAAGAUCAUUGUGUAGAUGAAAUGACACACAGAAGUCACACUUCUGGGACAGAGCCCGGCACCACGGAGGUUCUGAUAAAGUGCGGCUUUAAUAAGAAGAGUGAUAAGAUCACUGAUGACAGCACUCUACGGGCAACUGGUGAAUUUUAAUGAAGGCAGAGAAUCGUGGGGCUCAGGAAAGACCUAGGGCAGCUGCAGUGGCCAACUAGUGCCUCGGGUGGAAAGGCCAGGGGGUAAGGCCAGGGCCUGAGGGUUCUGGGAGAGUCCUGGGAGCAGACCAGCGCCGACAGGAACAGAGGCUCAGAGGAGCCCUGCCCCCCAGGCCGUAGCUCAGAUCUGGGGUACAGGAAGUGUCCAGACACCACCCUCAGUCCCGCCACCAGAAGUCUGCUCCUGACCCGAGGCCCUGCAUGGCUCAGCUGUGAUCACGGACCUACUGACCACAGGGCUCCAGAGUGAUGGUGGUGCCCAGCUCUCAGGGCCCGUUGUUUCUGGCAGACCCCACAGGCCACCCAGCAGGCACAGUGUAGACGGUGCUGGUGACAGGAGGGGCCCAGGGUGCGGGAUGGCGGGCACAGGGCCUGAAGUCUUUCCAAGCCUGAGCACCCUCAUGUGGUUCCAAGUCAAGCACGGUGGCCCACGCCUAUCAUCC
rnacentral:lncRNA from 1 species